rnacentral:rRNA from 1 species
GAUGAACGCUGGCGGCGUGCCUAAUACAUGCAAGUCGAGCGAACAGAUGAGGAGCUUGCUCCUCUGACGUUAUCGGCUGACGUGUGAGUAACACGUGGAUAACCUACCUAUAUUACUGGGAUAACUUCGGGAAACCGGAUCUAAUACCGUCUCAUAUAUUGAACCUCAUGUUUCAAUAUUUAAAUACGUUUUUUCUUUCACUUAUAGAUGGAUCCGCUCCGCAUUAUCUAGUUGGUAAGGUAACGGCUUACCAAGGCUACGAUGCGUAGCCGAACUGAGAGGGUGAUCGGCAACACUGGAACUGAGACACGGUCCAGACUCCUACGGGAGGCAGCAGUAGGGAAUAUGCCGCAAUGGGCGAAAGCCUGACGGAGCAACGCCGCGUGAGUGAUGAAGGUCUUCGGAUCGUAAAACUCUGUUAUUAGGGAAGAGCAAAUGUGUAAGUAACUAUGCAUGUAUUGACGGUACCUAAUCAGAAAGCCACGGCUAACUACGUG